rnacentral:snRNA from 1 species
UACAACUGGUUUCUCUCCAGAUCACAGAAAUCUUUUGUCUUUUACUAAAGAUUUCCAUGGAGAAGAACAUGUAUGAGCUGAUACCUAACUAAUUGAGGCUUUACUUUGGUGAAGC